rnacentral:lncRNA from 1 species
AAAAAAAAAAAAAAAAAGAUACUUUUACUUUUAUUCAAAUGCAUACUUCCCACCCGCGGCGCCCACUCCCUUCGGCCCCGCGGGCCGCCGGCUCGGCGAGGCGGACCCGGAGCGCCCCAGGCCCCGCGCCGUCGGGCCGCGAGCCCCGCAGUGACCUGGAAGCCUGAGGCUGGCGUCGGGCCGGAUCGCGGGGCCGCUGCUGGACCCCGGCCUCGCCAAGGUAGGGGGGCCUGGCCGGGAGCCCCGACAGCGCCGCCGAGCGGGCCGGCCGCGGCGGGGCGGCGGGAGCGGCGGGGCGGCGGGGAGGGUCCCGGCCGGGCGCACCGGAGAGCCAGGGCCGCCCGGCGCUUUCCCCCGCCAGCUGUCGGCUGCGACCCGGGCGGCGGGGGCGGCGGGGCCGGCGGGGGCGGCGGGGGCGGCGGGGCCGGCGGGAGCGGCGGGGACGGCGGGGACGGCGGGAGCGGCGGGAGCGGCGGGAGCGGCGGGGCCGGCGGGGCGGCGGGAGCGGCGGGAGCGGCGGGGACGGCGGGAGCGGCGGGGCCGGCGGGGCGGCGGGAGCGGCGGGAGCGGCGGGGACGGCGGGAGCGGCGGGAGCGGCGGGGACGGCGGGAGCGGCGGGAGCGGCGGGGACGGCGGGAGCGGCGCGCCGCGGGGGAGGUGCGCGCGGCGGCCGCGGGCGAGCGGAGCGGAGCGGAGCUGAGCGGCGCGGCGUCCGCCCCCGCCGAGCCGAGGUGGAGCCGAGCGGAGCGGCGCGCCGGGAGCUGGGAGCGCGCCCCGAGGCCGGCUGAGGGCCGCCCGCCGGAGGGUCGCGCCCGCGCCCGCGCCCCGCUCUCGGGGCCCCGACCCGGACCGCGGCGAGCCGGGCGGCCACCUGCUGCGUGGCGCCGCGGGCCUCGGCGUUCCGGCGCGGGCGGGCGUCCGUGCGGUCUGGGGCGGGGGCGGCCGGGCGCGCGCGCCCUCGGCGGAAGCGUUGCCCGCACCGUGCGGACGGCGUCCCUCCGGCGCCUCGCCGAGCCCGGGCCGCCGCCUGCGCCAGGUACCGGGGCGAUGGGAAGCGCGCGUGGGCCGCCGGGCGGGGGCGCGGGGAGCCCCGGGGGGGCGGGGACGGCGGGGGCGGCCGGGCGCCCGGAGCGGGGGUGGGGGCGCCGUCCCCGCGGCCCGAGAGGCGGCAGACGCGCUCCCCCGCGCGCCCAAACUUUCCCGUGGCUCACUCUGCUGGACUUAACUUUGAGUCGGGAGGUGAAGCCCAGCAGCCUCAAGCUUUACGAAAAUAACCGAACAGGGAGGACGGUGCCGCGGGCCUGA